rnacentral:rRNA from 1 species
UGGAAUUGAUAAGUUCUAGCGGCGGACGGGUGAGUAACGCGUGAGCAACCUGCCCUCCACAGGGGGAUAACGCACCGAAAGGUGCACUAAUACCGCAUAAGACCACGUUUCUGACAUGGGAAUGAGGUCAAAGGAGCAAUUCGGUGGAAGAUGGGCUCGCGUCUGAUUAGCUAGUUGGUAGUGUAACGGACUACCAAGGCGAUGAUCAGUAGCCGGUCUGAGAGGAUGAACGGCCACAUUGGGACUGAGACACAGCCCAAACUCC